rnacentral:rRNA from 1 species
UUGAUCCUGCCAGAAGAGCAGGCUGACCUAAAGGAUUAAGCCAUGCAUGCCGCGUAUGGGCUAGUAUACGGCGAAACUGCGGACGGCUCACUAAACCAGUUGCGAGGCCCCGCGGGGUGACGAUAGUCGGCUAGUACGGGAAACGCUCUUACUAUUCGUGCUUCACUGCAUCGGCUUCCCGCUGACUCGCGUUGCGCUCACGACCGCUAGGYGUCCGCGUCCCGCUUCUGCCGCAUCAUCGAGCCGGUCGCGUAAGGGGCGACCGGCGACGUCACGCGUCCGGGGAAUGAGGGUUCGGCUCCGGAGAAUGGGCACGAGAGACGGCCCAUAGUUCUAAGGGAGGCAGCAGGUGCGCAAAUUGCCCAAUGCGCGACGGCGCGAGGCAGUGACGAGGAGUUCGGGCGCGUUCGCGUGUCUCGAAUGGCCGGGAUUUAGAACUGCCCGGGAACGCGAUUAGUGGGAGAGCAUGGUGCCAGCAGCCGCGGUAAUUCCAUCACUGACAGCCUUCUCUUACGUUGUUGCAGUUGAAACGCUCGUAGCCAGCAGUAGGAGACGUGCCACUGUGAGGAAAGCGGAGCGCUCACGGCAGGUUCGCUGCACAGGCCAGCGCAGGACGGCAGGCUUUGGCGUUCCCUACGGGAACGCUGAGGACGAGACAGAGGGCGCCGCGGAGCGGGCGGUAUUCGCCGGGGACGGGUGAAAUAGGAUGAUCCGGCGAGGACCCCCGGCAGCGCAGGCGGCCCGCGAGCGGCGUCCCGUUGGUCAAGAGCGAAAGUGCGAGGAUAGACGAUGAUUAGAUACCGUUUUAUUUCGCGCCCUAAACGAUACCAUCCCGGCGGCGGGCUCGCUCGCAACCCAAGGGAAACCGUGAGGCUUCGGGUUCUGGGGGGAGUAUGGUCGCAAGACUGAAACUUGAAGGCAUUGACGGAAAGAUACCACCAGACGUGGAGUCUGCGGCUCAAUUUGACUCAACACGCAAACCUUACCAGACCCAGAUGCUUAGCGGAACGACAGAUUGAGAGUUCUUUCGUGAUCAGGCAGGUGGUGGUGCAUGGCCGCUCCUAGUUCGUGGUGUAAACUGUCUGCCUUAUCGCGUCAACGAGCGAGACCACCGCCGCAGCACGCUGCGGGAGCGCCGGCGACGAGCCGGACGAGCGCGGUYGCACUAGCAGGUCUGUGAUGCCCUUCGACACUCUGGGCCGCACGCGUACUACACUGGCGGCGCGACUGCGUUGCCGCGCUCAGCGGCGCGGCCACCCGGCAGACGCCGCCGUGGUUGGGACCGGGGGUUGGAACUGUCCCCCGCGAACGAGGAAUGUCUAGUAGGCGUCCGUGAUCACCGCGCGCCGACUGCGUCCCUGUCUUUUGUACRCACCGCCCGUCGCUCCUACCGACUUGGACGGACUGGCGAGCUGUCCGGAGUCUGCCGCUCGCGCGGUGGACGAAGUUCCGCGAGCCUGCCUGUCUGGAGGAAGGAGAAGU